GAUGAACGCUGACAGAAUGCUUAACACAUGCAAGUCUUUGGCGAAGCUGUGCUCGCACAGCCUAGCCAAGGCGGACGGGUGAGUAACGCGUAAGGAACUUGCCCUGCAGUCAGGGAUAACAGACGGAAACGACUGAUAAGACCUGGUAAAGUCAGGCGGACUCAUGUCCAGCCUGAUGAAAAGAGAUGUUGCAGGAGAGCCUUGCGUCCUAUUAGCUUGUUGGUGGGGUAACGGCCCACCAAGGCGAUGAUAGGUAGCCGGCCUGAGAGGGUGGACGGCCACAAGGGGACUGAGAUACGGCCCUGACUCCUACGGGAGGCAGCAGUGGGGAAUAUUGGACAAUGGGGGCAACCCUGAUCCAGCAAUUCUGUGUGCACGAUGAAGGUUUUCGGAUUGUAAAGUGCUUUCAGCAGGGAAGAAAAAAAUGACGGUACCUGCAGAAGAAGCGACGGCUAAAUACGUG
rnacentral:rRNA from 1 species